UAGCGUCUAUGUGAAUUUGCCUUUUUUCCUUACCAGUGUUCGCUCGAGAAUGUUCCAACAAAAGUAACCAGGUUACCGCGUUUUGCUAUUACUACUUACGCUGAAAACACCGUCGAACCUUUGACCCAUUUUUCUAUCGAUCUUCCAUGUUUCGCAUAUAGGGCAUACCGUAAUGGCCUCCGAUCAUCAAAGAUUCGUUUCUCCAGACAUCUACGUAACCAUUAGACGCACACACGAUCGUUGAUGUUACGUAACGCGCGAUAUUCCUUAAAACGACUUGGAAUUAUGUAAAUAAUGUUUUUCCUCUUCGUUUGAAACACAACAGAUCGAAAAUUAAAAAUAUAAAAGCGUAAUAUCGUUAUACGAAUGGAAAAGUCGAUGAUCACAUAUUAUCGGAGAACACGAGAAAUCGGAGGAAAUAAAAAUUUGCCAAUUGACGUUAGCAAGUGCAAAGAAGAGAAGGUUAGACGUGUUAAAAAUUGAGUCGAUCUUUACUAUCCAAACAUUAAAUGCGAGAGAACGGUGCUACGCGAAUAGCGGUUAGUCGAUUAACGAAACUCGCGCGCACAGGGAAGAGGAAGGGGUGGUGGCUCGGUAGAACAUUGGAACUCGACUUGGUCGUCCUAUUUCUACGCUCGGGAAGGUUCGUGCCACGAACCGAUCGCGCACGAAGCAACGGGGAUAUAAGUAGGUCGUUUCAAGCGCACGUGUCGUCCUUGACUCACAUAGCAUGGCGCGCAGGCGCUCACCGUUGCCGCAUUGCUGGUCGCUAGGGCUUUUUCUUUGUUCGUCGAGCGCGCGUGUGUUCGCGCGGAACACCAAGACGCGCUCUCUUAUGAAUACACCGUGUGCGUGACUAUUGCUCACACGCACUACUCUAUGCACUCUGCAAAAUGAGCUAGCGGCUUCACGUCAUCUAUCUAUCGCGUCCAAUGUUCUCUACUAUGCUUUUACCACAUGAAUUUAUUUGUUUCGAUUAAUUAUUUCCGGAAGCUCCUACCUUUUUAUACGUUAACUCGUUUGAAAAAGGAACGUUAACCAUACCGUGCAGCGACUAAGAUAUGUACGAUAAAACUUGCGAUUCUUUCUUUGCAGUAUCAUUUCCUUAGCGAGACUGGUCGUAUACAAAAUUUAUUUCCUCUUACGUAACACGGCGAUAAAAGGUUGAAGAAAGUGUCACGAUAGAGCACGUAAAGGAUUCUGUGGAUGGACGAGCGAUACAGUGCGAGGUCGAGACAAUGGUAAGGCGGCGCGUUGUGCAACUUUCAAGGAGAAUGAGCAGCACGCGUGUCAUGCGUUCCUGCGUGUUCGUGGACGCAUAUGCGCACGCUCGAUGAUAAUCGACAGAAAGAGAAAGGUCAUUGGGGAAUGGAGUUUCGCUUCCUCUUCCUCGUUGCGAUUACGAGUAGUUUCCAGGUAAACAGUGCGAGAGAUGUGAAAAAGUGGAUCGCAGUUGCGGCAAAGAUUUUGCCACGAGUUUAACAAUUUCACAGGUAAUGAAAAAUCUACGUUGUAUUGUUUCCAAUAAAAUGUAAAUGUGACAUUUAGAAAUAUUUAGAUUGGUCGGAAAUUAUUUUUACUCGAUCUAUACGCGCACGCACAUUGCCAGAUUAGCAGGCCGUAUCAGUCACGUUGCGAAUACGCCUUCUUCUCCGUAUCGAUCCUUUGUUUCAUUUCUUUCAUUUCAUGCCCGAGCUUCCACUAUCAUUUCCAUGCGACGCGUACGACGUUUCGCCUUUCGUUUCGUAGCAUCGGAGAAAGCGAUGCAACCUGAUCGAACAAAGUCUAAUCUCUCGAGACGAGCUGCUCUUCCUUUCUCACGAUAAACCAACGCAUCUGGUAUUAUUCGAAUGGAAGAAAUAUCGCAGAAACACGGAAAUACGAGCCGCGUACAAAUACAAAUAAAUAGAAACGAAGAGCUUGAACGAAGGUGAGGUGAUUAAGAAACGCGUGGCAGGUAAGAAAUCACGGCGGAAAAGAGACACGUCGAGUAAGAUUGAAAGUAGCGUAGUAAAUCGAGCAUUGACCCUUUUUGGGAUUCUUCCGCUCACCGAGAAAAGUGGAUGGACGAGCGUAAAGUGUAUGGACUUGCUCGUGCUCAGCUCGGAAGACCAACGUGUACGCGUGUACACACGUACGCGCGGUACGUGUGCGUGCACGUAUUCCAAGGUACGGCACCGCGUUACGUUCGGCGUUUCCCAACUCUGUUGACCCGAGCCUGGUUUGUGGCACACGAACAGGAUACGUCUUCAUGAAUCUGCCAGUGUUCCGCUCUUUUUUUAAACCGUACAUCGGUCUGACGACUUUAUAUAAAAAUACCACAUCGUGUACAGGUAAUUUUUAGCUUACUAAAUUUAGUCUAAAGGUAAGGAUAUUUUAACCCUUGAUACGUAGGUGUAGGAAAAAAAGAGCCAUCUAGAAACCGUGAACCGCGCGAUAAAUUCGUAGAGAUCGUUCGAAAACGUUCUACGUCGCCAAAAUUUCCGUCUGUGUACGUUAACGAUAACACGACUCGAGCAACUUCGAUCGAAAAAGCUAAUUCGUUAGGAACCGAGAGGCCGAGCGAGAUAAUUCUUCGAAUAGAAAGCGGCGAUCCGUGGAACGAACAAUGGACAUAGCCAUUUUACUGUGUGCUGUUUUGGUCGAUGCCUUUGUUACGUAAGCAGUUUUGGUAGAUGCGAAGAGUAGCAGGUGCGUACGCACGAUUCUUCCCCGAGCUCUGUCCACCCGCGUAUGAGCAAUUCUAGAAUAUUUAGUGUAAGACAAACUUACGCGAGUCGGCGAUCUUUUCGGUUCGUCCUUCGAUUUUCCACGUGGGUUGCUCUAUCGAGGAACGCAGAGCGAGCGCCCUUUUCUGAAAACAAACGCAUCGUUAAGCUUCGUAGUUUCGCAUAAGUCGUAGUGGCAACACCGUAAAUACGUAAGAGCAAUGGUAAGCUAAAUACGUAAUAUUCUGGCGCAGAGAGAAAAUUAUAUAUCAGCUUGCACGUGCACUUCCUAAUUGGAACUCGCUGGACAAUAGCAGCGAACAGAAUGAGGUAACGAAAAUACGACUGAAAACUAAUUUUGUAAAAUGAAAACAGAUACUGUUUCCGUUGACUAAACAUCACUGCCCUACGUCGCUCAAUAACCUUGUUUCCCCCUCAAUGCUCUAGAUUGGUAAAUUCUCAUAUGCAAAGUGCAACAUUUCUUUUCAAUAACACUGAAUCCUAUUUUCUUAUCACUUUAGCUUUUCGAGAAAUCUACAGACAUUUCCGUUACACUGUGCGGUUCGUUCGUUAAAUCGAACGUUCGAAUAUGUUCCCCGAAAAAGAAAAAAAAAAAAAAAAAAGAAAAAUUGGAAGGUAAGGCUGUAGUAAAACUCAAGGAUGGAAUUUCGCUUACAUCAUCGAGUUAGUUUACCCGCAGAGGUUCGAGCGUAUUAAUUUUCCUAUAUCGACGUUUACGAUCAAGGGUGAAUCGAUGUACGAAGAACGACGAGCAACGCCAAUUAGAGAAAGCUAAGCUGAAUUUAAACGGAGAAGGAAAGUGGGAACGAGGACAAGGUAGGAAAAGAGAAGAAGUGGAAGAGGAAGUGGAAGAGGAAGAGGAAAAGGUACGGUUGCAGGAGGUGAACAGGGAGAGAGAGAGAGAGAGAAAGAAGGUGGGAAUUCUGGCUAGUGGUUGGGUUGGCAAGGGAGGGCCUGUGGUGCUAGAGCAUUUGGUAUCCGUGGUUCUGAACGGUAGCGGCUAGGCAAAAGGGGGCUAGAGGAGAGCAGGGUCGAUGACCCUUGCACGUGGAGUGUUCGGAAGUAGGCCACGCCGUGACAUCACGUAAAAGCAAGAUGGCAGUCGGGAAACGGGCACAUUCUCACAAGUAUGCUCGGCAUACGACUCGACGGAGACGUGCCGACGCCUGUGCAAUCGAAUCUUUUCCUUGGACGAGGGUGCGUUCCGAUAUUCAACGCCAUCUCUCAUCACGACCUCUUCCUUCUUCUCUCUCCAUCUUCUCUCUCCAUCUUCCUCCUAUCGGUCUUCUGCUCUUGUCGCGUUUCAAGCAUCGCGGUUUGAUGCGUGCCAAUGUUUGCGGUAACUAUCGGAAAUCGGAACGCGUAAUUUUCAUGCAGCUGCCGGCCGAGUUGCAUCAGCGUCUCCCAACUCGCGUGCAUCGAACGUGUCACGAUAGCUGGAAAUUUUCCGACUGCUUCCAGCUAAAUCCGCUACAUCUUCUAAUAAACGUUCGCUCGAGCAGUAAUACGUCACGUUUCACGAGUUUGCUCCGCUAAAUUUUACAUCGUGCUUUGUUAAGGUCUCGUGAUAACGUCUCGUGAUAUUCGAUGAGAAUGUUGCGUCUCGUUCAACGACCGAACGUCAAAAAAAAAGAAAAUAAAAAGAAGAAAAAAUCCAAAAGAACCAAGUUGUCAGGAGGGAAAAAGACGAGCGCAUUACUCGGUUGGUAUCGUCGCGGUCGAGUGAAAUAAUCAGUGCCGACGGGAAUUGUCGUACGAUUACGCGUUAUACAAUCGCGAGACAAACAAAAACUUUAUUACCGGCGAAUAAUCCCGAGCGUGAUCGUUGCAAGCGAUUAGACAGAUCGUACGACGUUAGAACGAAACGGACAGCGAAUCGUGAAAAUCGCGGGUCGCACGGAAUCACGAACAUCGAAGGCAUUGCGCGCGCGCCAUCCGUGUCCGUAUGCAUUGCGUGGAGUCACGUUGCGUAUUCGUCGUGCGUGUGCACGGAUGCAGCCGCGGAUAGCGUUCUUUAUUCGGAACGUGCGAGCGCGAGAACGUGAGCAGGUAUAUGGCACCGUUGAAUAUUGGACGAAAGUCAAAUUCAUCUUACAUUAUUUUAGCGUCCGCGGCGAGCCGAUGUAUUACAGAAAUACGAGCUCGUCUGUAGCGUGCGUACGAGCGUCUAUGAUUUCUGUUUGUAUUUUAAUUGCGAUGAUGUAAGCUCAUGCGGAUGCACACACCAAGUUUUCCUUGCUCCAUCUACCGUUUCGUCUCUUUCGAUUUCGGAAUUUUCGAUAUGUACAUACUUAAAGUCAAGUUUCGGACAGUCGUAUAAACGUACGAAGAAUCGUAUUUAUGUAAGUACAUGUACGUAACGCGUAUAUCGUCGUUAUCAGGUUAUGCGUGGUAUAAUAGGGAAUUUUAUAGGGAAUUAUAAAAUACAACGCGAAGGCGAAAAGUGUUUCUUUCGUGUAAAAUCUAUUGCAGUUGUAACAACGAAAAUUCUUUAGACGGUAGAACCUGGCAAUUGUUCCGCGGAAAGUACAAAGUCUAGUACGAGUUGGUAUAUUACAGACAUAGAAGUGUACCUACUUGCGAUGCAAUUACGGUGAUGUAACGCGCAUAUCUUAUCGGAAAAUUUUAUUUCUAAUUCCAUUUCUAUUUGUUCAUAAAAUAAACGUUUAUUUCAGAGUUUAUGCUUUGUUUCACACUUCCACUUUAGACAUUAAAUAACUGUAUGCGAAUGUAAUUAAGUUAUUUAUAAACGUAUUGAACAAUAUUUAAAAAGAAGUUACGUAAAUAAACCGUUUUCCAUGAAACAUA